CCAAGAGAAGAGUUUUUUUUUUAAUUAUUCCUUCAUAUUCAAACUUCACAAACAGUGUGAACUUGUACAAUACCUCAGAAAGUGAAACUUACAAAAAAAGUGCUGGUAACAUUUAAAAAAAAACAACAAAAACCCCAAAAAACAAACAUCAUUCUUAGCAACAUCAAUUACUCUUCCACACAAAACAGAAACCUUGUAAAAUUUAUUUUCGUAUUUUUAAGGCGUAAUACUUCCGUAUAAAGUAUAUGCAAGAGAUAAAACUUCACAGUAUUCCAAAAUGUCACAAUAAUAAUAAUAAUAAUAUAGUAUAAUGAAGCGCUACAGUUAAUUUUCUUUUUUUGAAUGUUUUUUUUCCUGUUUAAAUAACAAAUACAAGUCACAGGUAAAUAUACGUGAGAAAAAUACGAGGCUAAUAUUAAAUGGCAGGAUGUGUGUAUUUAGUCUAUAUUUUAAAGCACUUGAUAGAAAAGGCGUAUGCAAGGUUUUUCAAAACAAGUUUUUGUUUGUUUGUUUGAUAACUGACAACAAUUUAAGAGUAUAAUGAGUAAAAAAAAAAAAAGGAACAAACUCCCUCUCAAAACUAUUGACCUGCUCAUUCCAAACCACAUGUAUAUAUUGACGGGUGGAUGGGUGCGUGUGUUGGUGUUUCCAUGGGUUGAACGGUACACAGACUGAUACAACAGUGUCCCUUGCCCGCCUGCGAGGAUUGGAGGGGACAAUCUCUGCAGUCAUCAAGCCUAGGUUCCUCGUCGGAAAUUAUUCUUUCAGUUUAAAGAUCUCUUUUUCCUUGCCUCUCCCUCUUUCCAAACUCCUCCCCAAUCCCCAGGUCCUUAGACUGAAAAGACAAUCUGGUUAGAAAAGUUGCCCUCCAUUCAAAAUUCACUGGGAAAUAGAAACCGCGUAAACAGUGACAACCACACAGACACUGAAAAUACCACUUGGACGAAUGAAUAUGUUUGUGCAUGUGGGGUGUGUGUGUGUGUGUGUGUGUGUGUGUGUGUGUGUGUACAGUAGCAAUUGCAAAAAAGGGACCAUGUUCCUUUCCAUACUAAGAUACCAUGUGAUAAGAAACAUUUCUGUGCAGGGAAUACGGUUUCUUCGAAUCUUAUCACAACACUGUGGCGGGAAGAUCAGGAAACGGGUUCACCUUUCAGCAGUCACCACAGUAAACUUCAUUGAGAACACGCAGGCCCCGCCCUCUAGUCUGUGCGCAUGCGUGUGUUAACAGCUAGCCAUUCAGCCAACAGGUAACAGAAAGACAGCAGAUAGCAAAACACGUCAAUAAGGUGCUCAAAGAAAAAAGUGGCACCCAUUCCCUGAAUGGGUGGCCACAUUAAGGUGCUUCAAAAAAGGUUUUUUUUUUUUUUUUUUUUUUUCAGUUUUAUUUCAAACAUUAAAAGAGUACUGGUUUGCACAUGGUAGUUCUGAGUCAGGCCAAGGGUUUUGAGAUUUCUGACUUCUUCCACUGAAAAGGGCUUUCGCUGUAGUCGUUUUGCUCAGUUUGUGGUGGGUCAUUUGAGUUAAAGAAAAUUUAAUAGCUGAAAACUGAAAUCAAAUCAACAUGACGAAAAGAAAUAGGUGAAAUGGUAUAGAACAUUACUGCAUUCCCAUUGGAUCAAAAUGGUUUCGCCCAUUUUUCCUCUUUCACUAACACUGUUCCUUUUUUUCUUUGUUACAAUCCAUUCCUUGUGAACAUACAGAAAUGACCAAAGUCACUGCAAGUGGCUGUUUUUAUUUUUUGUGAUCUGUUGCAAGAGUCCAACCUUGUUUCCUCUGCUGCUGUUUGUGUAGCAUCUGGUUUUGUAAUGAGCAUCUGGAUUUAUGUGCAUGUGUGUAUAUAUGCACAUAUACACACCUAUACAUGUAUAAUAUAUACACUAUAUAUAUAUGGAUAUAUAUAGGAAGUGUGUAUACAUUUAUACAUAAUAUAGUGUAUAUUGUUUCAACUGGAGAUAAACUGAACUGGGUUCAGACACUAGCACAUGUUUAUCUUUCCCCUGCCCCCUCUGUACAUUUUAAACAGUCUGGAGCUUUUAUUUAUUUUUUUAAAGUGCAUUUUCAAUGCAGAAUAACUGUAAUCCAAUGAUUUCUUGGAAAACAUUUCUGAUGAGAAAAAUCUGACGGUUCUCAGCCCCCAGUAAGAGAAACCUGGGUUCGGUCGUGCCAGGGGCUGACGUGGCAGUGCCAGGCUUGUGCCUGAGUGAUUACUUGGCGUUCUGGACUCUGGGCACCUCAGUAGCAGCAGCAGCAGCACCUUUGGGAGAAGGCAGAGAUAGAAGAGGAAGGAGGAAGGAAAGCUCAGGUGAGGAAGGAUGAGUUUGCGGUGUGUUACAGGUCAGAAGUGUUCACUGUGUAUUGACGUGUGCAGUUCCUGCUCGGCUUCGGCUAAGAGAUGCCAUCUAGUCCCCUCCCCACCAAUGGACACCAGCCUCCCCACGCCCCGCCCACUCCAGCAUUGCCCAGGCGUCCCCACUCCCCAGGCUGACUUUGGGUCAGCUCCCUGUGGGGAUUUGAGUGCCAGCGUCCAGUAGGAAUAAGGCACCAGAGAAAUCAAAAUGUUACAAAAAAGAUGCAAAACCCCGUUUCAAAGAGCCUCUCCCAUUGCUCCGUUAAAAUAUUGCAUGUGAUACCAUUCGUGUGUAAAAUGUGUCAAAUGCAGUCUCUGAAAGGAACUGGAGGCCCGUCAGCACCAGAGAUCUUUAGGAAUGCACCCUUUGUCGAAACACACCCACGCCCCCCACCCUCAUGCCCACCCCACGCCACGUGCAUAAGCACCAGAUUGGGAGAACAAGGUUGUGCGCUAUUGCUCACCUCAUUUUUGAGAAGGAUCAAAGAAGUCUAUGAAAUCAAAUUUUUCAGGAAUUGCUCUAAAAUUAAAUGGGUGUAGGCUGUCAUGUAUCUGGUUACUGGAUGCUCUAAAUGUCCAAAGAAUAUGAUUAAGGGGUCGAAAUCUUUGUACUGAUGUUUGAGGGAAUGUGUUAAACAAAAAUUACUUCCUAAAUGACACCCAAGUCCUCCCCCACUAACAUUUCAACCUCCUCUAUUUUUUAAAUGCUGUAAAAAAAAGAAGAGUUUCAUCUAGCUAUAAAAGGAAAAAAUGAAGGCACAUGAUUUUAUUCGGUCCCACAAUCCUUAAGAAAAAUGGUAUUUUGCAAGUAUGUGUGUCUGUGUGUGUGUGUGUGUACACGUGCACACAGGUAUGAAAUGGGAGACCAAGGGCCAUUGGGGCAGUCAAAGGAAAGUUGGGAAAGGAGAAGAGAGAAUUUCAAGACAGAGAGAAGAAAGGAGAAAGGAGGAAACAGAGGCCUCUCUUCAGCUUUCUGUCACAGACAGUCUCUAGAUUUGGCUGCUUUUGGGUCCAGAACGAAAUUCAUUUGUCUUGGUCUAGAAAGUGCCCCCAGUUUAAAUAUCUCCAGUUAAUAAUGUUACAGCUUUUGGUGUUUCCCUUUUCCCUUCCCUCCAGCCAAAUGAUUUAAAAAAAAAUCACAGUUUUAAAAAAUUAUUUUUUCAAUGUUGAAAAAAUAUGGAAAAGCUAUUGAACAGCCUUAGGGCACUCCGCCUCUCCAUCUUCACAGUGAGCAGAUGGAUAGACAAGCCAGAGAGUCAAAGAUGAGGCAGGCAAGCUCCUUUGUGCUAGAGGUCCCUUGCCUCACCUUCCCCAGGGCUGGGGUGCCCUUCAGAGCAUCCACAGCAUUUUCAUUCAAUUGGAUCCUCCCUACCCAACCCCAUCCAUGGAAGGUGGGCUGCUGAGAGAGGCAAAGCCAUUCCAGAGAGCAGAGGUCUCAGAAGACAAGGAUGGAGGUGACAGCGGUGGGGGAGCUCUCCCCUCAGGCAGAGCUGUUCUUGGGCAGGAUGGGAAAACUGCCCACUGACCAGGUGAAGUGGCACUCACACGGACUUCGUGAGCCUUCAGCUCCCAGGCUUGCCAUCUUUAUGCCUCUGUGGCCCCAGAGUUGGCCCCCAGUCCUUAAGAAGGCAAUGAUCCAAGACAGAGAGGCGGAGUCAACCGGCUGUGUCAUACAAAAAAGGGCUACGGACAGUGGGAUUUCAUAAAGAAAUUUAACUUUGGUUUUCCAACUUUUUCAAACCAUAAAAAUUAAAGCAGGGCUUCAGUGGCUUCCAUCAUCUGACAGCUGUUACGUUUUUCUCAUUUGGCAAGGCUAAGGCGGGGAGGAAGAGAAAAGGGGUUUCCCAUAAUUGGUCGAAGACACAGGGUGGUAAAAUGCUUCCACACUUAAACUCACAGUCCAGUGUUUUUGACAUUUCAUAAAUAGCUUUUUUUUUCCUCUAAAAAAAGAAUAAAACAAGAACAAUCCCUUUACUUACUCAUCUGAAACAAAAUAAACAGCAGUGGGUACAAACUUCUUCUUGUAACAAUUACAAAAAACAACAAUAUAAUCCCAACUUUUAACACGCAUCUUGAAUCAGUUAUUUUUUUUUUUAACCUCAAAACUGCAGCAUAUCCUUAAGGGCAAACUUUUCAAUUAGUUUUUUUCUUUUUUUUUUUUUAAAUAAUGUCUUCACCAAAAAAACAGUCUUGUACCAAUAAAAUGCAUUCAAAAAUAGAAAAUAUUACACAACAAAAAUAUGUAUCCUUCCUUUCCAAAAAAGAUUCUUCACAAAAAAAUGUAGAAAAAAUUCCAACAAUUUUUUUCCUCUCCUAAACAUUAACUUUCAGUCUAGGGCACGAUUAUUUAUUGAUUUAAAUGUCUGCUUUUGCAUAAAACAUGGAAGAUGCAAAACAAUUACUGUAUAAGGUUUGUGAAGUUACGUCUACUCCCACCCCAACUCUAAAACAGAACCAAACCAGAAAAAUCCAGCAAACAUUAGACAAAAGAUACAGCUGGUUGACUAGGGGAAAAAAAAUCUCUGUUUCCUUUCACUGUGCAUUUGUAUGGGUUAACUGGCUCUGUCAGUGUCUGGGAAUGCUCAAGAAGCGAGAUCAGAUUGGAGUCAAGAGGCUCUUUAGCAUGAGCUGAUGUUCUGAGACUCCUUUACAGUCUCCCAUGUCAUGGGCUUACCUGCUGCAAAUCCUCAAGGAGAAAAGAAACAUCCUGCCUGAGGAUGGGCAGAGGACUAAGCUGUGUCCACACUUGUACUGUACAAAUACCUCUAUACAAGCCAGUUUCUCCAUCAUAGCACAUUUUUCUCCCCCCUUACAAUAGAGCUUAAGCCUAGAAGAAAAGGCAACAGAGAGCUCCAGUGGUGUGUGGGAGGCUGGGGCCAUUUUCUCUGUAGUCACCUUGACCACACUGAACCAGAUUGGGCAUUAACUGUAACAAUAAUGCGAUCUCUAAUCUUAACGGAAUGUCCUAUUUUCCCCAUCCCCAUUGAAUCCAGGUGUCUUUUUAAUUUCAAAUGUUGUAGCUUUUAAACGAUUUAUUUUUUUCUUAUUUGAUGGUAUUUCUCUUUCAUGUGGGAUGUAUUUUGUAUGGUGUUUUCAGUACAAAUGGAUUUUUUUUUCCCCUAUUACUUACUUGGUUGCUGGUUUUUUCUCUGUGGUUUCUGUUCUGUUUUGUUUCUGAUUUUUAACAGUGAAAUAUGUCCAAUUUUAUUUCCAGUGCAUUAAACAAAUUUUAAAUUAAAAGAAGAAAUAAAACUUUUCCCCCAUCCUUGUAAAGGAAACGACUGACAAAAGUACAAUAUAAUAAAAUCAGGCAUUGCCAAAAACAGCAUGAUGUGCAACCUCAAUUACAUUAAAGAAAAACAAACAGACAAACAAGGAUUAUAAAACAUAAGCGUGAAGGAGCCAAGACUAUGUAAUCCCAACUAUGGUAUGACUGGCAAGCACUGGUUAAAAUAGGUAAAGCAAGAAAUGAAAGCAUACCGCUGUGUGCUCAGAACCUUUAGGUAGCACUCUAAAGGCCGCAGAAUGGUCCUCCCAAGAGCAGAGAGCCAAGGCAGUAUCACAGACCGAGGAGAGAAAUCUCAACUAGGAAGAGAGAGUGGCAUCUAAGAUGAUGCAAUGAAUUGGUGGUCUUCCGGAUGAUGGAUGUUGGGCAUCUGGGAGAUUUUUGUUAGUUUCUUUAAAACCUUACCAACGAGCAAGGAUUGAUAAGGCAUCUAAAGAAUAAUCAUCUCAUUUAGCCCUCUCAACCAGGAUGGGAACAGAAACUGAUCUUUGAAAGGAAGAAAGUGAUUGUGGCAUUGAGGCAUCCUGAUCUGCAACAGGCUUCUGAUAAUGCCGUUCUCUGCAGUUGUGAAGGGUGAGGAGGAACAGCAGAGUUUCGUGAACUCCUCCUCCCGGCUGACCACAAACGGAAAGGACCCAUUUGUCAAGACUUCUAGAGUACUAGUGUUUCAUCAAAGAAAAAAGGUAAAGUCAGUAGAAAUUCUAGAAUCACAAGAUCUCAAUGAAACUUUCAGAGAAGCAAGACAUCUGUUACUGAACGAUAAAGUCCCUCCCGUGAAAAAGAACAGAAUUCUAGAUGAAUUGGUGAAAAAAAUAUUCAGUGGAGCAACAUAAGCUUGCUAAAAGUUGAAAAACUACAUAUCAAAAUACAAAGCAGCAGUUCAAAUUACAGCAGGGAUGGGCUGGCCAGAGGCCCUCAACCCAGGCAAUACUUAAAAUAAUAAAA
ensembl:lncRNA